UAUUAAAUAUUUCAUCUAUUUUUAUGGUUAAAAACUAGAGUAGUUGACAGAAUAAUUAAACAAUGACAUGUGACGUGUCAUAUAUACUUCCUAUUGGCAUAUAAAAACAAAUUUUUAAUAGUAAAAAUAAAAAAAAUUAACA
rfam:Gossypium raimondii Chr02_contig_526, whole genome shotgun sequence.